rnacentral:lncRNA from 1 species
CUUUUCACCAUCUUAUUCCAUCUGCGCCACCGCCCUGCAGUCUCUGAUCUAACCGCAAAUGUCAAGCCUACCAUCGCUCUCUCUCAGGCUUCGAACCCUUUCAGUAUUAAAGCCAGAGACUCUCACUUCCAUUCUAGACCCUCUCAGUCAGAGCCUCGAUAGGUUCUCUCUGUCCGGAUUCGUGGUUCAAGAUUACACUGAUUCGUAUGAGAGUAACGAAUGGUAGCAGCAACAGGCGUGAUGGGUUAUCAGUAUCUGAGCUUCUGAUGUCCCCGGAGAUUUUCAAAGCUGU